rnacentral:rRNA from 1 species
AGCGAACGCUGGCGGCAGGCUUAACACAUGCAAGUCGAGCGGGCACUUUCGGGUGUCAGCGGCGGACGGGUGAGUAACGCGGGGGAACGUGCCCUCUGGUUCGGAAUAACUCAGGGAAACUUGAGCUAAUACCGGAUACGCCCUUUUGGGGAAAGGCUUGCUGCCGGAGGAUCGGCUCGCGUCUGAUUAGCUAGUUGGUGAGUUAACGGCUCACCAAGGCGACGAUCAGUAGCUGGUCUGGGAGGAUGAUCAGCCACACUGGGACUGAGACACGGCCCAGACUCCUACGGGAGGCAGCAGUGGGGAAUAUUGGACAAUGGGCGCAAGCCUGAUCCAGCCCUGCCGCGUGAGUGAUGAAGGCCUUAGGGUUGUAAAGCUCUUUUAUCCGGGACGAUAAUGACGGUACCGGAGGAAUAAGCCCCGGCUAACUUCGUG